GAUGCGCCAAGCCAGCUGAGUGGGUCUUUUUAUUUUUUUCGCGCGAAAGUUUAUGUGGUGAACUGUGUUGGUAAAGAUGAAGAUGUCAGUCAAUGAAAUUUGCUAUAUUUCUUGUGUCUAACCAACCCUGUACGGAUCGAACUGACGAUUCCCGAGUGCGACAAAUGUCCUGAAGUCUGCUCCUAUUAGCUAGGUAUCUAGAAAUUUCAACUUGAGUGUCAAGUGAAGACUUUGCCAGUUACAGACGAGGGAAUUCUCGCUUCACGAUUUUCCUGGUGUGUGGAGAUACGCCGGAAUGCCGACCCACCACACCCGACAUGAUGCUUCGGCCGGAAUGCAGAAAGGAUCAUAUGUAGUGCCUUCUCAGCAUUACAUUGCAUCCAUUGCGUAGCAGCAAUGUGCCAUCCUUCCGCGACUUAGGUGGAAUGACGUGCAAGUGGUGCUCCAGGGUCAACUUCAAUUUGCCGAGCACGUAUGCCGCUGGCUUGGGGUCAGCAGCUGGGUGCAAAGUCUCUGUAUACAAAUCGUGCACUGUCGUCAACAAUAUGGUGUCGUGACCCGAGGUCGACGACGCACAGCCAUCCUAGCAAUCUGGCAGACGAGGGGCCAGCACCAGCUGACAAGCGCUCAGCUGACUGACGGGUACGAGUCGCGCCAGCACCGCAUGUGCACAGUACGGUAACUUACCGCAUCUUUUCUAUUCACUACGUCAUUACUACUCACUACAUCAUUAGACAUUACUACUACGUAGCCUUUAUACGCACUUUAAUACUACAUUGUACAUAAUCAUACAACUACUACGAUGCUGCAUAAUCUCGCGCCUUGUCAACUGUCAUAGUCUAUUAACUAGUAUCUUCUUCCAUUCUUGCAUGUUGUAUCCCGCCGUUAUGAGACGUUCAAUCAUUAUGAAUCUAGCUUUGUCCGUUACUUGUCCCCUUGUCCCGCCGUCUAAUAUGAUUAGUGAGUACAGUAUGUGUGCUCUGAUUGGUUGUUGUUAGUUAUUGUUAUGAAUAUAAGUCCCUGUCUUUUAUACGUUCGUCCUCUCGCUCCGGUACUGCUUCAAUCUUGAUCUCCUCUUUCUCCUCUUUACCUCUGACCUAUCUACAAGGUAUGUCCUUGGAAACGGAACUCUUGGUGGGCUGUUGAGUGAUGGCGUGCAUAUAUUGUGCACUUGGGAUUCUGGGUCUUGCUCACACUUCGUGGCGGUCCUAUUUGGUGUUGUUCGCAACGCAGGCUUUUGACUGACCCUUGGGGUCGGGUCAUGACAAUUGGUGCUGUGACCAGGAUCCGUCACUCAAUGUGAACUAAUCCUCGGUUCUUUUUCUGGUGUGGCUUUUUUUGUCUUAUCCAGAAUGGCACAGGAAAUGCUAGAGGAGUUCAACGCCCUUUCGCAAGAAGCAGGCCAGGGGCGGGAGACUCCAACCAGGCAGGCCUUGGAACGGGCGAUUUCUUUGUUUGAAGGCGUGGGUCGCCCCGACCAAGGGCGACACUUGCGAAAACUAAAGGAGGACCUGGACUUCCUGUCGUUGAUAUCAUUCAGGAUAUUGGGCCGGCAUGCCGGUCACCGCACAGAGGAGUCGGAAGAGCCACCGAGAAAGAAAACUCGUAAAAACUCACGUAAGCCGCCUAAGAAGGACAAGGCGUCUCCUAGUGCGAAGAAGGACCAGAGUACCGACACGGAACUGCCUACAGACUUGCCGACUACCCCCGACAAGUCUGCGCCACAGUAAUGUGCGGCCACUUUUAUUGGACCAGAUAUAAAUUCAAUAAAAGUAUUGUUAUCUAAA